CCUGUGAAAUACUUCAUGUUGCCUCGGCGGAUCAGCCCGCGCCCCGUAAAAAGGGACGGCCCGCCGCAGGAACCCUAAACUCUGUUUUUAGUGGAACUUCUGAGUAUAAAAACAAAUAAAUCAAAACUUUCAACAACGGAUCUUUUGGUUCUGGCAUCGAUGAAGAACGCAGCAAAAUGCGAUAAGUAAUGUGAAUUGCAGAAUUCAGUGAAUCAUCGAAUCUUUGAACGCACAUUGCGCCCGCCAGUAUUCUGGCGGGCAUGCCUGUUCGAGCGUCAUUUCAACCCUCAAGCCCAGCUUGGUGUUGGGAGCUGCAGUCCUGCUGCACUCCCCAAAUACAUUGGCGGUCACGUCGAGCUUCCAUAGCGUAGUAAUUUACACAUCGUUACUGGUAAUCGUCGCGGCCACGCCGUUAAACCCCAACUUCUGAAUGUUGACCUCGGAUCAGGUAGGAAUACCCGCUGAACUUAAGCAUAUCAAUAAGGGGGAGGAA
rnacentral:rRNA from 1 species